rnacentral:rRNA from 1 species
UAGCUAGUUGGUGGGGUAAGGGCCUACCAAGGCGACGAUCGGUAGCUGGUCUGAGAGGAUGACCAGCCACACUGGAACUGAGACACGGUCCAGACUCCUACGGGAGGCAGCAGUGGGGAAUAUUGGACAAUGGGGGGAACCCUGAUCCAGCAAUGCCGCGUGUGUGAAGAAGGCCUGAGGGUUGUAAAGCACUUUCAGUGGGGAGGAGGAUGAUUAGGUUAAGAGCUAGAUUAUUGGACGUUACCCACAGAAGAAGCACCGGCUAACUCCGUGCCAGCAGCCGCGGUAAUACGGAGGGUGCGAGCGUUAAUCGGAAUUACUGGGCGUAAAGGGUGCGUAGGUGGUUGAAUAAGUUAUCUGUAAAAUCCCUGGGCUUAACCUGGGCAGGUCAGAUGAUACUGUUUAACUCGAGUAUGGGAGAGGGUAGUGGAAUUUCCGGUGUAGCGGUGAAAUGCGUAGAGAUCGGAAGGAACACCAGUGGCGAAGGCGGCUACCUGGCCUAAUACUGACACUGAGGCACGAAAGCGUGGGGAGCAAACAGGAUUAGAUACCCUGGUAGUCCACGCUGUAAACGAUGUCAACUAGCUGUUGGUUAUAUGAAAAUAAUUAGUGGCGC